GCUGGGAUAGUUCAGUCCAGUAGAGCAUGAGACUCUUAAUCUCAGAGUCGUGGGUUCAAGCCCCUUGUUGGGCA